rnacentral:miRNA from 1 species
CUCGAGCCACAACCUCCCUUUCU